rnacentral:rRNA from 1 species
AGGACGAACGCUGGCGGCGUGCUUAACACAUGCAAGUCGAGCGGAAAGGCCCUUCGGGGUACUCGAGCGGCGAACGGGUGAGUAACACGUGAGUAACCUGCCCCUAGCUCUGGGAUAGCUCCGGGAAACCGGGAUUAAUACCAGAUACGACCACUUUAGACAUCUGUCGUGGUGGAAAGGAUUCCGGCUAGGGAUGGGCUCGCGGCCUAUCAGCUUGUUGGUGGGUAACGCCUACCAAGGCGACGACGGUAGCCGGCCUGAGAGGGCGACCGGCCACACUGGGACUGAGACACGGCCCAGACUCCUACGGGAGGCAGCAGUGGGGAUAUUGCGCAAUGGGCGAAAGCCUGACGCAGCGACGCCGCGUGGGGGAUGAAGGCCUUCGGGUUGUAACCCCUUUCAGCAGGGACGAAGCGAAAGUGACGGUACCUGCAGAAGAAGCGCCGGCUAACUACGUGCCAGCAGCCGC